rnacentral:rRNA from 1 species
UGAGGAAUAUUGGUCAAUGGACGAGAGUCUGAACCAGCCAAGUAGCGUGAAGGAUGAAGGUUCUAUGGAUUGUAAACUUCUUUUAUACGGGAAUAAACGAAUCCACGCGUGGAUUUUUGCAUGUACCGUAUGAAUAAGGAUCGGCUAACUCCGUGCCAGCAGCCGCGGUAAUACGGAGGAUCCGAGCGUUAUCCGGAUUUAUUGGGUUUAAAGGGAGCGUAGAUGGGUUGUUAAGUCAGUUGUGAAAGUUUGCGGCUCAACCGUAAAAUUGCAAUUGAUACUGGCAGUCUUGAGUACAGUUGAGGUAGGCGGAAUUCGUGGUGUAGCGGUGAAAUGCUUAGAUAUCACGAAGAACUCCGAUUGCGAAGGCAGCUUACUAACCUGUAACUGACAUUGAUGCUCGAAAGUGUGGGUAUCAAACAGG